rnacentral:lncRNA from 1 species
UUCCUCUUUUCUUUUCUUUUUUUUCUUAUUAUUUUUAUUUGUUAAGUCUUUAUCCCCAAGUCUCCCACAGGGGUAUUUUGGUCUUUGAUAUGUACCAGAGCCAACCCUAUUUUGUCACUAUAAAUACACUGUCCAAUCAUUGGGAAGAGGGUCCGAAAAUUCACUGUAGCUGCGUCAGAGUCAAAUUAGUCCAAUCAAUACAAACCCUAAUCCUUUCUCUCUCAUACCAAAUACAGAUCAAACACAAAAAAAAAUCACAAAAAUUAUGAACAAUCUCAAGAACACAUGAACCUUGACCCUUUCCAAAAAUGAAUAUAAUCACCACAAACUCAUAAAACCGACUCAAAUCAUCACAUAAUCACCAUAAACUAACAGAAUCAACUCAACUCAUCACAAAAACACCAAAACCGAAUCGGUUUUCAUCUACAUAAUCAAAACGUGAUUCUUCAUCACCAACACCAACAAUUUCGAGUCAAGCAAAGAAGAAGAGAAGGAAAAUGAAGUGAAGUAUUCCGGAUCUAGAAGAAAACGAAGCUUUCUUUCUCUUUCUACAACAUAUUUCUCCAUUUCAACUAGGGUAACUAUCUUCCCUUUCCUCUUUUCUCUUUCAUGUACAAAAAAUUUUCGAAUCUUAAAAGCUAGAUCUACUCUUGUUUGUUGUUUCUUUUUGAAAACUAGGUUUAGAUUCGGACUCUACACAAAAAAGGAUAUCUAGAUCUGCAUUUUUUUUGAAAACAGAGGUGUUUGGAUUUUCCGGCGUGGUGGCGCCGCCCUGAUGGGCUGGCAGCCGCCGUGCCGGCUUUCAAGUAGCUCGUCGGAGAAGAAGGCUGCACUUGCAGACCUUCUCUCACUAAGUUUGUUUAGAGAGAGGGAGAAAGGAAGAAAUGAAGGAAAACCGGUUCAAAUUUCUUUUUAUAAGCACAUGCGAACCGGUCUGGUUCAUCUGAACCGGACCGGUUCAUCUGGCUCUUCCUUCCUUUCUUUCUAAACCCUUAGAUCUUUCCUCCUCUUUUAAUCUAACGGUCCUGUGUGUGUAAUCCAUGGUAAUACUUGUACAUCUUCGGAUCUAGACUGUUUAGAUCUCGUAUCUGACGGUCAGUGAUGAUUCUGCUAAGAUCACGCGCAUGUUCUUUUCUGUGUUCAGUUUUGUUUAACCCUUGGAUCUUGGAUCCAGUGGCUGUGAUGAGAUAUUGGGAUUUAGAUCUGGACCUCUGGAUUCAUCCAACGGUCCAGAUUGUAUCCUGCUGAGCCAAUUUCUUUUUUAAUUGUUCUUUAUUUUUAAAUACUGUUUUUACACUUUUUUUUGACAUUUUUGUGUUUAGAAAAAUUCCAAAAUAUUGUUCUCAUCAUUUUAAUUUUCUCUAAUUUUAAAAAUUCAUCCUAUUUGUUUACUUUUAAAAUUUUUUGUUUAUUUCUUAUAUGAUGAUUUUAAUUGUUGCUUGUCUUAAUUCCUUGCUUAUUAUUUCUUAUAUCUCAUGCAUCAUAAUAUUUGUUAUGCUUACUAACAAUUUAAUUUUUGUCUUGAAUCAUAGCAUUCACAUUUAAUUUUCUUAUCAUUUUAUUUUGUCAUUGACGUAGUGUGUAUAAAUAGGGAAUUGAUGUAAUUUUAUUUCUUGCAUUUUAUUUUGGCAUAAAGGCCUUAGGGUUGUAUUUAGGAAUUGAUGUAAUAAUGUAGGUAACACAAGCACCGACAAUUGCACCGACACUACCACAAUUUAUUUACCGCUUUCCGCUCGUUUUUACGACGUUACGUUAGUUUAGAAAAAAUCAUUUUUCUCAAAAAAAUCAAAUAUGCAAAACUUCAAAAUCAUUUUCUUAAUAACAUUUUUAAUUAAACUCUCAAUCAAUUUUAAUUCAACUUCAAUCAUUUUCAAAAUUUAAAAUCAAUCAACCUCACUCAUUUCUUUUAUCUCAUGCCUUGAGGUCUCUUUCUCUUCUUAAAACCAUUUUCAAAAAUCUUAAAAUCAACCUAACCCACCAAAGAAUAUUUUUUAGUGGAACUACGUCGGUUUUGAUCCCUUUCCCAAAAAGGGUACGUAGGCAGAGGACUUGUCCUUCCAAAUCAAAUAAAAAUAACCAAAAACAUACUCCUUCUCCCUCCAUUCUUUCACUUAGAUUUUUAGGUAAUAAUUUUUCAAGUAAGCCAAAUGAAUUUAGCACAAGAUAAUCUAGGUAAGCGGUUCCUUCGGAGUACCGAAGUCGUUUAGGGUGCUUAACACCUUCCCUAUUCGAAACCAACCCCCGAAUCCAAAGUCUCGAUAAGGGUUUUUACUCAUUUUUUCCCUUCCCACGAAUAAAAAUUGAGAGUUCAAAGAUUGACGAUUCAAAUCAAUCAAUGGUUUGAUAUCCGAAAAUCGGGGAGCACAGCACUCUUCUUCCUUGCCUUUUGCACUACAUUUGUUCACCAAUCUUAAUUCUCUCGUGUUGUACAAUUGUCCGUGGCUGGAAUCGUUUUUUUAGAGGCAGUUGCCUUCCAACCUAAGCAGCCUCCGAAUAGAAAGAUGCCGUAAUUUGAUGGCUACAAUAGAGGAGUGGGGUUUGUUCAAACUCAAAUCUCUGAAACAAUUCAGUCUUAGUGAUGAUUUUGAAAUCUUUGAGUCCUUUCCAGAAGAGAGUAUGCUGCCAUCAACUAUUAACUCUCUUGAGUUGACAAAUUGUUCAAACCUAAGAAAAAUAAACUACAAGGGUCUUCUCCACCUCACUUCACUUGAAUCUCUAUAUAUUGAAGAUUGCCCUUGUCUUGAGAGCUUGCCAGAGGAGGGUCUACCCAGUUCCCUUUCUACUUUGUCCAUUCAUGAUUGUCCAUUAAUUAAGCAGUUGUACCAAAAGGAGCAAGGCAAGCGUUGGCAUACAAUUUCUCAUAUCCCUUCUGUCACAAUUUCCUGAUUGACGGCUGAGAUGAGAUGUUAUUUUUUCCAGGUGCACGAUAUUCACCAAUCUGUUUAUAGUUGUCGAACAUUAGUAAAUUUUCUUUUAAAUAGUGAAAUUAAUGCACAACGUACUGUGUUUUAUGUUGAUCAAGUCAUGGUGUUUGUGAUAUAUGUUUCUAUGGUGUUUAAAACCAUCUCAUGGGAUUCUUC